GGGGAUGUCGUCUAAUGCCUAGGAUACCGACCUGAACAGUCGGUGAUGUUGGUUCAACCCCAACUGUCCCCACCA
rnacentral:tRNA from 1 species